AGGCAGCAGUGGGGCCGCUCCGGCGCACGGCAGGGCUGUGCCAGGGCUGUGGCGACCGCUGCCUUCCUCUGGGCUCCCCGCAGCCUGCCUCUCGGCCUGCAUGGCCUGCAUGGCCAGCUUGGCCAGCUUGCGGGCAUGGUGCAGCGCGUGACCUAGUCGGCCAGGAUGGCGGCGUGGCUGCUGGGGCCGCGGCCGGACCUGGCCCGGGGCCUCGGCCUGGGCCGCCUCGGACUGCACGGCCUCCUCAUGCUCAUCGCCGCCUCCACCAGCCUGCUGCACCCCGGCGGCAGGCCUCCACCCCUCGCCAUGGCAGCGACUGGCGGAGGCAGCAUGCUAGGCGACGUCAACAUUUCUGCCAUUUUAGAUUCUUUCAGUGUCAGUUACGACAAAAGAGUAAGGCCGAAUUAUGGAGGUCCUCCGGUUGAGGUGGGCGUCACGAUGUACGUUCUCAGUAUCAGCUCCUUGUCGGAGGUCCAAAUGGACUUCACGCUUGAUUUUUACUUUCGCCAAUUCUGGACGGACCCCCGGCUGGCCUUCCGGAAGAGGCCGGGCGUCGAGACGCUCAGCGUGGGCUCCGAGUUCAUCAAAAACAUCUGGGUGCCCGACACGUUCUUCGUGAACGAGAAGCAGUCCUACUUCCACAUCGCCACCACCAGCAAUGAGUUCAUCCGGAUCCAUCACUCGGGCUCCAUCACCAGAUCCAUUCGGUUAACGAUCACCGCGUCGUGCCCCAUGAACCUCCAGUACUUCCCCAUGGACCGGCAGUUGUGCCACAUCGAGAUAGAGAGCUUCGGGUAUACAAUGAGGGACAUCCGCUAUAAAUGGAACGAGGGGCCCAACUCGGUGGGGGUGUCGAACGAGGUUUCUCUGCCGCAGUUUAAAGUCCUGGGGCACCGUCAGAGAGCUAUGGAAAUUAGUCUGACCACAGGAAACUACUCUCGGCUGGCGUGCGAGAUCCAGUUCGUGCGGAGUAUGGGCUACUACCUCAUCCAGAUCUACAUCCCCUCGGGGCUCAUCGUCAUCAUCUCCUGGGUCAGCUUCUGGCUUAACCGGAACGCGACGCCCGCCCGAGUGUCGCUGGGAGUCACCACCGUGCUCACCAUGACCACGCUCAUGUCCUCCACCAACGCCGCGCUGCCAAAGAUUUCCUACGUCAAAUCCAUCGACGUGUACCUGGGCACCUGUUUCGUGAUGGUGUUCGCUUCGCUUCUAGAGUAUGCAACGGUCGGCUACAUGGCCAAGAGGAUCCAGAUGAGGAAGAACCGGUUCCUGGCCAUCCAGAAGAUAGCCGAGCAGAAGAAGGCGGGGGCCGAGCUGCCGCCGGAGGGGGAACACGCUCCGAAGCAGACGGCCGUGCGGUUCAUAGUUCACGACCCUAGGGCGUACUCGAAGGGCGGCGAGCUGGUGAGCUCGGUGAACGGUCGCGGCGGGGAUUGCGAAAGUAGGCCCGCCUCGCAGCCGCUGCUGCUGCCGCACCCCACCAAGGACUACAACAAGCUGCUCGGCAUCACGCCCAGCGACAUAGACAAGUACUCGCGCAUCAUCUUCCCCGUGUGCUUCGUGUGCUUCAACCUCAUGUACUGGAUCAUCUACCUGCACAUCAGCGACGUGGUCGCCGACGACCUGGUGCUGCUGCAGGAGGACAAGUAGUGUGUGUGGUCCGACUGGUCCGGCCGGUGCGACCGGUCCGACCUGUCCGUGUGCGGUGCGGUUCCUGCAGCACGAGCAGCAGCAGCGGCAGCAGAGCCAGCCGCCCACGCCCAAGGCCAGCCACCC
rnacentral:misc_RNA from 1 species